CUUGGUCAUUUAGAGGAAGUAAAAGUCGUAACAAGGUUUCCGUAGGUGAACCUGCGGAAGGAUCAUUAUCGUAACAAAGACGUGGGAGGCUGUCGCCGACUUUGUGCACGCCUCUUGCGUGAAAUCCAUCUCACCCCUUUUGUGCACCACCGCGUGGGCUUUCCUCCUCGAGGCGGCUCGCGUUUUUCACACAAACCCCCUUUGUAAACGUCUGUAGAAUGUCCUCAUUUUGUUUGCGUUGACGCGCGAUCAAUACAACUUUCAACAACGGAUCUCUUGGCUCUCGCAUCGAUGAAGAACGCAGCGAAAUGCGAUACGUAAUGUGAAUUGCAGAAUUCAGUGAAUCAUCGAAUCUUUGAACGCACCUUGCGCCCCUUGGUAUUCCGAGGGGCACACCCGUUUGAGUGUCGUGAAAAUCUCAACCUCCUCAGUUUCUUCUGGAUCCCGAAGGAGGCUUGGACUUUGAAGGGCUUUGCUGGACUUUCAAAAGUUCAGCUCCUCUCAAAUGAAUUAGCGAGGUCCCCUUUGCCGAUCCUCGACGUGUGAUAAGAUGCUUCCACGUCUUGGUCUUUGGCUCUGUCGCCUCUUGGGACCUGCUUCCAAUCGUCUCUCGACGAGACAACGUUCGGGCAUGCCUCGACCACGUACCCUUGACCUCAAAUCGGGUGAGACUACCCGCUGAACUUAAGCAUAUCAAUAAGCGGAGGA
rnacentral:rRNA from 1 species